rnacentral:rRNA from 1 species
UGCAGUCGAGCGAACAGAUAAGGAGCUUGCUCCUUUGACGUUAGCGGCGGACGGGUGAGUAACACGUGGGUAACCUACCUAUAAGACUGGGAUAACUUCGGGAAACCGGAGCUAAUACCGGAUAACAUUUGGAACCGCAUGGUUCUAAAGUGAAAGAUGGUUUUGCUAUCACUUAUAGAUGGACCCGCGCCGUAUUAGCUAGUUGGUAAGGUAACGGCUUACCAAGGCGACGAUACGUAGCCGACCUGAGAGGGUGAUCGGCCACACUGGAACUGAGACACGGUCCAGACUCCUACGGGAGGCAGCAGUAGGGAAUCUUCCGCAAUGGGCGAAASCCUGAMGGAGCAACSCCGCKUGAGUGAUGAAGGGUUUCGGCUCGUAAAACUCUGUUAUUAGGGAAGAACAAAUGUGUAAGUAACUGUGCACGUCUUGACGGUACCUAAUCAGAAAGCCACGGCUAACUACGUGCCAGCAGCCGCGGUAAUACGUAGGUGGCAAGCGUUAUCCGGAAUUAUUGGGCGUAAAGCGCGCGUAGGCGGUUUCUUAAGUCUGAUGUGAAAGCCCACGGCUCAACCGUGGAGGGUCAUUGGAAACUGGGAAACUUGAGUGCAGAAGAGGAAAGUGGAAUUCCAUGUGUAGCGGUGAAAUGCGCAGAGAUAUGGAGGAACACCAGUGGCGAAGGCGACUUUCUGGUCUGUAACUGACGCUGAUGUGCGAAAGCGUGGGGAUCAAACAGGAUUAGAUACCCUGGUAGUCCACGCCGUAAACGAUGAGUGCUAAGUGUUAGGGGGUUUCCGCCCCUUAGUGCUGCAGCUAACGCAUUAAGCACUCCGCCUGGGGAGUACGACCGCAAGGUUGAAACUCAAAGGAAUUGACGGGGACCCGCACAAGCGGUGGAGCAKGUGGUUUAAUUCGAAGCAACGCGAAGAACCUUACCAAAUCUUGACAUCCUUUGAAAACUCUAGAGAUAGAGCCUUCCCCUUCGGGGGACAAAGUGACAGGUGGUGCAUGGUUGUCGUCAGCUCGUGUCGUGAGAUGUUGGGUUAAGUCCCGCAACGAGCGCAACCCUUAAGCUUAGUUGCCAUCAUUAAGUUGGGCACUCUAGGUUGACUGCCGGUGACAAACCGGAGGAAGGUGGGGAUGACGUCAAAUCAUCAUGCCCCUUAUGAUUUGGGCUACACACGUGCUACAAUGGACAAUACAAAGGGCAGCUAAACCGCGAGGUCAUGCAAAUCCCAUAAAGUUGUUCUCAGUUCGGAUUGUAGUCUGCAACUCGACUACAUGAAGCUGGAAUCGCUAGUAAUCGUAGAUCAGCAUGCUACGGUGAAUACGUUCCCGGGUCUUGUACACACCGCCCGUCACACCACGAGAGUUUGUAACACCCGAAGCCGGUGUGAGUAACCAUUUAUGGAGCUAGCC